AAGGCGAGCCAUUAGCGAGCACGGACCAGAGGCAGUUUUCAGCUGCUGUCACUUAAUUAACCUCACCCGACUGAGGGAAAAGAACAUACAUGCAAGAAUGUUAAGAGAUACAAGUUUACCGUUGAUUGUUAUGCUCGAAUGAGUGGAAACAAACGAUUGGCCAACGGUUUCACAGGAGCA